rnacentral:misc_RNA from 1 species
GAAGUCGUUACUUCAACCCUUGUGGAGGAGGACGCCGAAGGUGGGGCUAAUGACUGGGGUGAAGUCGUAACAAGGUAGCCGUACCGGAAGGUGCGGCUGGAUCACCUCCUAACAGGGAGACAACAAAAUGUAAAUAUUAAUUUUGUCACCUUAGGUCGAUCGGUAUCUCAGAUUCUUAAUUAUUUAAGAAUUUCAGUUUCUAAGUUUUUUCUAGGUCACACCCAUCACUUUUUCCUGGGCCAUUAGCUCAGGUGGUUAGAGCGCACCCCUGAUAAGGGUGAGGUCCCUGGUUCAAGUCCAGGAUGGCCCAUAUCUCUAUGUUGGGGGUAUAGCUCAGUUGGUAGAGCGCCUGCUUUGCAAGCAGGAUGUCAGCGGUUCGAGUCCGCUUACCUCCACUGAAUACCACCUCUUACAUAUUGUUGAAGUGGGAAAUUGUUUUGAGUCGUGUCCUAAUUUGCUCUGAGCGAAUCUAGCUUCCUAUUUUAUCCAAGAAAUAAGAUGCUGGACUCAUUGAAUUUUUUUUCAUUGUUUUCAGAGAACCUUGACAACUGCAUAGAUUAUUUUUAAAGACAAUAGGCAUCUUUAAUGAUGCAGAUUUAUUAUUUGUGCGAAUGCAUUAAAUAACAAUUCUAUUAAGCUGAUGCUUCAAUUAUUGAAGUUAUUGGUCAAGCUACAAAGGGCUCACGGAGGAUACCUAGGCACACAGAGGCGAUGAA